rnacentral:rRNA from 1 species
AUACGGAGGGUCCGAGCGUUAUCCGGAAUCAUGGGGUUUAAAGGGUCCGUAGGCGGGAAUCUAAGUCAGUGGUGAAAUCUUGCAGCUCAACUGUAAAAUUGCCAUUGAUACUGGAUUUCUUGAAUUAGUGUGAAGUGAUUAGAAUGUGUAGUGUAGCGGUGAAAUGCAUAGAUAUUACACAGAAUACCAAUUGCGAAGGCAGAUCACUAACACUAUAUUGACGCUGAGGGACGAAAGCGUGGGGAGCGAACAGGAUUAGAAACCCCGGUAGUCC